rnacentral:rRNA from 1 species
CGGACGGGUGAGUAAUGUCUGGGAAACUGCCUGAUGGAGGGGGAUAACUAUUGGAAACGGUAGCUAAUACCGCAUAACGUCGCAAGACCAAAGAGGGGGACCUUGGGCCUCUUGCCAUCGGAUGUGCCCAGAUGGGAUUAGCUAGUAGGUGGGGUAAAGGCUCACCUAGGCGACGAUCCCUAGCUGGUCUGAGAGGAUGACCAGCCACACUGGAACUGAGACACGGUCCAG